AGCCAACCAGGUCGACCCUAGGCGACUCUGAGCCAACCACAUUGACUCUGAUUGGUAGGAAGAGAAAGGUCCCACUCUUUCCCAAACCUUUCUAAUAGGGAAAUAAUGGGUAAAACUCCAAAGUAUUUUUGUGCUAUGAUUUUAUUUCUUUUCAUGCUCCUUCUUUUAAAGGAGGUUGAUGCAUAUCGUAAAUGUGAGACUGUUCAAGAUUGUCAAGAUAUUUCUCACAUGCCUGAUUUAGUUUGUAAGUGUAUUGACAACAAAUGUAGGUUUUUCGAAGCGAAACUACAUGAGUAAUCCAAGAGAGUACACAAACACAACGAAAGGGAAAAUAUUUUUUUAACUACAAAAGAAUCAAAUAAAUUUACUUAAAGCUGGAAUGUUUCAUGUUUUUUCAUUUAAGUUUUGUGUUAUUAACAAAUAAUUUUAAUUUUAAUUUCAUGUACUUCAAAAUUAUGACUUUGUACUCUAAAAUAUUUGUAAUGAAAUUAAAUAUGACACUAAAGAUAACUUCUAUUAUAGUUUAUUA